UACGUAGGGUCCGAGCGUUGUCCGGAAUUAUUGGGCGUAAAGGGCUCGUAGGCGGUUUGUCGCGUCGGGAGUGAAAACACGGGGCUUAACCCCGUGCCUGCUUCCGAUACGGGCAGACUAGAGGUAUGCAGGGGAGAACGGAAUUCCUGGUGUAGCGGUGAAAUGCGCGGAUAUCAGGAGGAACACCGGUGGCGAAGGCGGUUCUCUGGGCAUUACCUGACGCUGAGGAGCGAAAGUGUGGGGAGCGAACAGG
rnacentral:rRNA from 1 species